rnacentral:SRP_RNA from 1 species
UUUGGGUUUCCUCGCAGCUAAUGAGCGUGAACCCCGUCAGGUCCGGAAGGAAGCAGCGGCAUCGUUAAUUUAGUGUGCCGAGUUCAAGCUCUUAGAG